rnacentral:rRNA from 1 species
GUGCUUGGGCGAGAGUAGUACUAGGAUGGGUGACCUCCUGGGAAGUCCUCGUGUUGCACCCCCCGAAAUCUCCGGGUGCGAUCAUACCAGCACUAA